rnacentral:lncRNA from 1 species
UCUGAGACAGAGUCUUUCCCAGAACCUAUAGCUCAUGUCUUCUUGGCUAGGCUGACAGCCCACAAGUCCUAGCAACUCUGUUCUGCUCAAAGCUGGGGUGACUGAGCACUGAGUGCCUGGUCUGUCACGGUGGUGCUGAGAUCCCAGCUCUGCUCUUCAUGAGUUAUCUUUUCAGCCAUAAGGCCAUACUUAUUGAUGCUCAUUCAAUACCUGAUCAAGUAGAUAGAGUAUAAAUUACAUUACUUUUAUUUUUGGUUUUUUUCGAGGCAAGGUUUCUCUGUAUGCCUCUGCCUCCCGAGUGCUGGGAUUAAAGGCGUGUACCACCAUGCCCGGCACAUUACAUGCUUUUAACACUAAAGAUAAUUUCCACUUUUCAAAAUGAUAAAUGUUCAUUUAACAGUUUUUCUUGAAUUUUGGAGAAUUUCCUUAGGAUGAAUUCUCAAAUAUCAUUCAAAGGAUAUAAACAUUUUUAUAGUUUUAGAUGUUUAUUAUCUGUUAAGAUUUAAGUUGUAAGAAUGUAUAACAUUAACAUUAUAUAAAUAAAUCAAUAAUUAUGUC